rnacentral:rRNA from 1 species
UUGCUUCCGCUGAGAAGAUAGUGGCGAACGGGUGAGUAACACGUGGGUAACCUGCCCAUAAGAGGGGGAUAACAUCCGGAAACGGGUGCUAAUACCGCAUAGUUUUCUUGAUCGCAUGAUUGAGAAAGGAAAGACGGCCUUUGUGCUGUCGCUUAUGGAUGGACCCGCGGCGUAUUAGUUAGUUGGUGAGGUAACGGCUCACCAAGACGAUGAUACGUAGCCGACCUGAGAGGGUGAUCGGCCACAUUGGGACUGAGACACGGCCCAAACUCCUACGGGAGGCAGCAGUAGGGAAUCUUCCGCAAUGGACGAAAGUCUGACGGAGCAACGCCGCGUGAGUGAAGAAGGUUUUCGGAUCGUAAAACUCUGUUGUCAGAGAAGAACAAGUCGGAGAGUAACUGCUCCGGCCUUGACGGUAUCUGACCAGAAAGCCACGGCUAACUACGUGCCAGCAGCCGCGGUAAUACGUAGGUGGCAAGCGUUGUCCGGAUUUAUUGGGCGUAAAGCGAGCGCA